rfam:Macrostomum lignano unitig_30031, whole genome shotgun sequence.
UAUCUGGUUGAUCCUGCCAGUAGUCAUAUGCUUGUGCUUCAAAGAUUAAGCCAUGCAUGUCUAAGUAACAAACCUUAAUACGGUGAAACCGCGAAUGGCUCAUUAAAUCAGCUAUGGUUCCUUAGAUCGUCUCUCAUCUACUCGGAUAACUGUGGAAAAUCUAGAGCUAAUACGUGCUUACAAGCCCUGACCUCACGGGAGGGGCGCAUUAUUAGAUCAAAAACCAAUCGGGGGCUUGCCCCGUCUGCUUGGUGACUCUGGAUAACUUUUGUGCUGAUCGCAUGGCCUCUGCGCUGGCGACGUAUCUUUCAAGUGUCUGCCCUAUCAACUUACGAUGGUAGGUGAUAUGCCUACCAUGGUUAUAACGGUAACGGGGAAUCAGGGUUCGAUUCCGGAGAGGGAGCCUGAGAAACGGCUACCACAUCUAAGGAAGGCAGCAGGCGCGCAAAUUUACCCACUUCCGGCACGGGGAGGUAGUGACGAAAAAUAACGAUACGGGACUCUUUUGAGGCCCGUAAUUGGAAUGAGUAACACUUUAAAUCCGUUAAACAAGUAUCUAUUGGGGAGGGCAAGUUCCUGGUGCCAGCAGCCGCCGGUAAAUUCCCAGCUCGUCCAAUAGCGUAUAUUAAUGCUUGCUGCAGUUAAAAAGCUCGUAGUUGGAUCUGAGGACUCGAAUUGGUUGGUGCACCAUACGGUGUUACUGCGAUUCGGCCUACCUAGUCGGGUGCUCGCCUCUUGUGUUUCUUAAUUGAAUGCCCUGAAAGUGCCCGGCAAAGUUUACUUUGAAAAAAUUAGAGUGCUCCAAAGCAGCCAUUAGCCGGAAUACUUCAGACACAUGGAAUAAUGGAAUAGGACUUCGGUUCUAUUUUGUUGGUUUUCGGAAACCCGAGGUAAUGAUUAAAUAGAGACAGCACGGAGGGCGGCAUUCGUACCUGCGGUGUUAGAGGUGAAAAUUCUUUGGAUCGCCGCAAGACCGAACAACUGCGAAAAGCAAUUUGCCAAGAAUGUUUUCAUUAAUCAAGAAACGAAAGUCAGAGGUUCGAGAGACGAUCAGAAUACCGUCCUAGUUCUGACCAUAAACGAUGCCAACUGGCGAUCCGAGAUCGUUUGCUUAUUGACCUCUCGGGCAGAGCCUCCGGGAAACCAAAAGUUUUUAUAGGUUCCCGGGGAAGUAUGGUUGCAAAGCUGGAAUCUUAAAGGAAUUGACGGAAGGGCACCACCAGGAGUGGAGCCUGCGGCUUAAUUUGACUCAACACGAGGAAAAACUCACCCGCCCGGACACUGUUAGGAUUGACAGAUUGAUAGCUCUUUCUUGAUUCGGUGGUGUGGUUGCAUGCCGUCUUAGUUUUUGGUGGAGCGAUUUGUCUGGUUAAGUUCCGAUAACGAACGAGAACCUAAGCCUGCUAAAAUAGUAACGCCGAUGUUACAUUUCGUCGGUGCUGACUUGAUUCUGUAGGAGGGACAAUCAGCGCUUGAGACGCACAGAAGAUUGAGCAAUACAGGUCUGUGAUGCCUUAGAUGUUUCGGCGGCCGCACGCCGCGCUAACACUGAAGGGGACAGCGAGUUUUUCCUGGGUUUCGAAAGAACCGGGUAAUCUGUUGAAUUCCCUUCGUUGACGGGAUCAGGAUCGGGCUCUUGCAAUUAUUCCCCCGUGACGAGAGGAAUUCCCAGUAAGCGCAAGUCAUCAGCUUUGCGCGUUGAUUACGUCCCUGCCCUUUGUACACACCGCCCGUCGCUACUACCGAUGAUUGAAUGGUUUAGCAAGGUCCUCGGAUUGUGCCGCCGACUUGGUGGGCAACACUAGGGUCGAUGAUACUGAAAAGAAGAUAUCAAACUUGUAUCAUUAGAGGAAGAGUAAAAGUCGUAACAAGAGGUUUCCGUAGGUGAACCUGCGGAAGGAUCAUUA